rnacentral:rRNA from 1 species
CCUACGGGAGGCAGCAGUGAGGAAUAUUGGUCAAUGGGCGCAAGCCUGAACCAGCCAAGUCGCGUGUGGGAUGACGGUCCUAUGGAUUGUAAACCUCUUUUGUCAGGGAGCAAGGCCCGCCACGUGUGGCGGGAAGGUGAGUACCCGAAGAAAAAGCAUCGGCUAACUCCGUGCCAGCAGCCGCGGUACUACGGAGGAUGCGAGCGUUAUCCGGUUUUAUUGGGUUUAACGGGUGCGUAGGCGGAAGGUUAAGUCAUCGGUAAAAUGUCGGUGCUCAACACCGGCCUGCCGUUGAAACUGGUCGUCUUGAGUGAGCGAGAAGUAGGCGGAAUGCGUGGUGUAGCGGUGAAAUGCAUAGAUAUCACGCAGAACUCCGAUUGCGAAGGCAGCAUACCGGCGCUCAACUGACGCUGAGGCACGAAAGCGUGGGGAUCGAACAGGAUUAGAUACCCCAGUAGUC